GAAUAUUUUUUCUUUCUUUAAAUAAAAACUACGGAAUUACCUAAUAUUGAUAACAUAUAUAUGACAAUUAAUGAUUAUGAAUAAUACAUAUUUGAUAAAAAAAAAUUCUAAUCUUUUUUUUUUUAAUUUUACACUAUUUAAAUAAAUUAAACAAUCACAUUAUGCAUAUAAUAAAAACAACUAGAUUUUUUCUUAUAUGUUAUAUUUUAAAUUUUAAAAAACGUCUAUCAAUUACUAAAAAUUGUAAAAGUCCCACAUUAACAAAUUUGUGAUCAAUGGUUUAACUUUUUUUGGUUCAAGCAAGUUACAAAUGAAAAUAUAUCAUAGGGGUGGGUGUUCGAAUACACGUUUGGGUUUGUAUAGGAUAUUUCAGUAUAAAGAUAUAGAACCCAUUCGGGUAUGUCUAUACUUCGAGUCGGGUUCGGGUAUUUUAUGUUUGUGUUUGGAUAUUUUGGGUCGGGUUAGGAUAUUAAAUUUUGAAGAAAAAAUAAAUAAAUUAUUUAUUGUUUAAGUUUUUGUAUUUAAAAUAUAUUUUAACUUAACUGUUUUUUUUAAUUUAUAAAAGAUUAAACUAUUAAUAGGUUUGGAGAUAAAAUUUUAAUAAUAGAAAGACACUAUUUUAGUUGUUAUUUUGAAAUUUUAGAUGGAACUUCUGCAACUUGAUAUGUAUUUUAAGUAAGUAGUAAAUGAUUUUGUCCAUAAUUAUAUGUAUAUUAUCUAAUUUUGAGCAAUAAGAAUCAUUAAUAUAAAAAUGAGAGUAAUAAACUAGAAAUAUAGAGUUAAGUAUACUUUUUUGUCAUCCGAGUUAAGUGUACUUAUGUUUGGUUAUCUUCGGAUAUCCAUUCGGGUUCGGAUAUUACCCGUUCGGAUUUAGAUAUUACCUGAACUGGUGAAAUAAGUAAUUUGUUUUGUUGUUUUAAUUAGAUGAUUCUUAGACCGAGCUGGUGAAUAUAUACUAGACAAAAAAUUAUAUUUCGAGUCUGUACUUAUAUUCUAUAACAGCUUGAUAUAUUAGAUUUGAACACUAACCUGUUAAUAUAGUUUGUCGGUGAUUUUUUUCAAAAUUUUAAUUCUUAGAUAUGUAUAUGGAGUGAAACUAAUAUUUACAAAUGUCAAUUUUUUAAUUGACACUUAUGUAAUUCAUUGAAUUCAUAAAAGAAGUUUAAAAGAGGAAACUUAACUCAUAUCAAUGAAACAAAUACGAGAACGAAAGCACAAUUCUAUAGAAGUACAAAAUGAAAUCACUUAUAGAGAGUCAAUAGUAAACAAAUCGAGAGCAGAAAACCUAAUCCUCUUUCGUCAUUAUACAAUCGAUGUUGCCUAUUUGUGUCAGCCGCAAAACUUAAUUUCUUUUUGUGCAUAUGAAGUUUUAAAAAUAAUAAAAUGAGAUGUAAUACAUUAACUCUUCAACAACGAUGAUAUAUUUAAGAGACCAACAUUUGUAUUCAUCAUUUUAUAAUCGAUAAAAAUUGUAGUGUUGUAAAAUGUUAAAAUCAUUUCAUAAACAAAACAUUAUUAUAGGAACUCACCCCGCGCAUACGCGCGGAUUAGCAUCUAGUUAUGCUAUUACAACGAUGAGAAAUAUUACAUAGACGAUUCUAGAGCCGACAAUUAUAGAGCGGACGAUUCUACUAUCAUAUGAGAAUGCACGUCUGACUGCACUGCAUCGCUCCGAGCUGCCUUAUGAGAUCCAUGUUCGAUGAUACACCCUUGCAACAUGCUGAAGACUUCUUGUAACCAUUUUUUUCCGUGAUCUACAUAAUUUGCAUUUUUUUGGGGUUUGAACUUCAGACCUCCUAAUGUAAAAGCAUUAAUGAACCAUUAGUCAAACCACUGGACUAAGUGGGCUUCCACAAUGAACGUUGUAUCGUUAUAAAUACCAAAAUGUUACACACAAAAAAAACAAAAAUGGAAUGUAUAAUAUUUUCAUUUGUUACUCUUGGAAAAAAGUCGUAACUUUAGCUAAACAAGAAUUAUUAUCUAAAGAUAUAUUUGAAUUUCUUUUUUAAUUUAUAAGAAAAUUUCUAAAUAUAAAUAUCUAUAUAUAUAUGAAAAAUGUACACAACUUCAAACUUUACAAAUGCAGUAUUACGAAUCUACAUAAUUCACACUUAAAAAUUAGUCAUGAGUAGAGUAUUGUCACAUCGUUAUCUUUAUACUGUUCAAAUACCUCUUACGAAAUAUGGAUAGAAAACUAUCCAAAAGAAACAGUUCAAAUCCAGCAUUUCGUGUACGAAGAUGUGGAAUCAUUUAUACAAGAUACAUAAAUAAAAACUGUUUAUUUUUUGAAAAAAUUACAUCUUAGAGCACAUUUUGAGUUUCUAAAUACAAUACAAGUCACUUGCUAUUUGUGACACUUUUUAGAAGUGAUUUGACUAUGAUAACCUCUAACCAAUUGAUCACUUACUUGUUACAUAUUUUUUAUUGUUUUGAUAAAAACAACAUAACAAAUAUAUAAUAGUUUGAAAAAUAAACCAAUUUAUGUCUCCUCUCUCAAUCAAAUUCUUGUUUCCAUUUUUCACGAAGAACACGUUACUCUUUAUAUGAUGACUUUGUCUCGAGAAAGUUAAAAAGGGGAAAAUUAAGAGAAGAAAAGAAGACGAUGAAGAAGGAUGAAUUCAAUAAAAAUCUCAACUCUCAAUCCGCCUGCUGGUGAGCAAUUCAUCACCAAAUUCUUGUAUCUAUCUACCUCUCUUUCUCAACAGAUCUAUCCAUAAAUGUGUACGAGUCUUCGUGUGUGGAUUUGGAGUGAACUUCAGGGGUUUGUUCUUUUGGUAGGACGCAGAGAGAACGUUUAAGGACGGAGAUUUGCGAGUUAACAAGGAUGAAGUUCAAAUCUUCAAAUCGUCUCUUAAUUUGAGCCUGAAGCUGUCAGUCUUCCCCUUUAUCUUUCUCGUUUUAUGUUAUAGUAUUGGUUUCAAAUUUUGAAGCAGGAUUUUUCUGAGUGUUAUGUUUGUUGGUAAUGUGGUUGUUCGAUCUGAUCAAAAUUGGAAUCUUCUCAAGAUCGUUACUUUUUCGACUCUAAACAUGAACACAACUUAACGCACGUGUCUUGUUGAUAACUGUUGUCUUUUCAAGAUCAUUAGCUGUGUCUUGUGUUUCACCGUUGAAGUAUAAUUAGUAAUUUGUGAGAGUUUAAGAGAAUUAAGGAAGUUUAAAUGAGUGAUUUUGAGAGAGAAGAGAGUGAGAUGAAUUCGUGAGUGUGGAGAGACAAAGAGUAAAGAGGAAACAUAAUUCCUUAGUUUUAGAUCUGGGUACAAACAGGGCUUUUAUAGCCAAACACAUAAAUGCAAAAGGUAUAAAAAAACUUAUCUCUUAUAUACUAAAGAGCAAGUCGCUUAACGAAUCAGAAUUUGACACAUAGAUUAAAAAAUAAAAAUAGUUUAAAAUAAAUGAAAAACAAAUACAAAACCAAAACUAAAAAAGCAGGUAAGGUAAAAUCGUGCAAUUGGAAAAGUAUAGAAACAAAAAAUUAAAAAUUAAAAUUAUGGCAAAAAAAAUCUAACAAAUUUUUAAGAAAAAAUUACUAGAAUGUUACACAUUUUAUGGUUUAUUACUAGAAUGUUGUACAUCUUUGUUUUAUUACUAGAAUGUUUUCUCUUUCCUAGUAA